rnacentral:rRNA from 1 species
AUUAUUUAACUUGUUUAUAUUUUUAUUUGAUAAUUUAAUAUUAGUUUAAUUAAAAUAAUAUUAUAGUUAAUUAGUUAUAGUAUAUAAAUAGAACAAAUUUAUUAAAGCUUUAGAAUUGUAAAAGAAAAAUUUAAAUAUUAAGAAGAAAAACUUUUUUUGUACCUUUUGUAUCAGGGUUAAUUAAUAUUAUAGUUUAUAUAAACUAAUCUCGAAAGUAAAUGAGCUAAAUAUAUAUAUAAUUUUAUGUAAUAAUAUUUAAUACAAAAUUUAUAUUUAGAAAUGAAACGUUAUCGUAUUUACUGAUAUCUAGUUUUUUAAUAAAUAAAUUUAAUUUAGAUAAUUAGUUCUAUUAACUUAUUUAUUUAUAAAAUAAUUUAAUAUUAAUUAUAAAAAAUUUAUGGGAUAAACUAUAAAUUUAUAUUAUUAUACAAAGUUUAUUUAAAUGAUAUAUUUAAAAAAUAGUUAUAAAAUUUAAUUUUUAUAUUAAAAAUUUAAUAAUUUAUUGAACAAUAUUAUUAAAGAUUUGUAAAUUAAUGUAUGUAAAUUUUCAUUAAAAAAUUUUAUAAAACCAUUUUAUAAUAGUUAUAAUGAUUAAAUUAGUAAUAUAUAUUAUAUUGUUAUAAAAUCUUAUUAAAGAUUUUUAUAUAUAUAAAAAGAAUUCGGCAAAAUAAAUAUAUUCACCUGUUUCUCAAAAACAUGGCCUUUUGUUUAAAAUUUAAGGUCCAUUCUGCUCAAUGAAAUUUUUAAAUAGCUGCAGUAUCUUGACUGUACAAAGGUAGCAUAAUCAUUUGUCUUUUAAAUGGAGUCUGGAAUAAACGAAUAAAUGAAAUAUAUACUGUUUCUUAUAUAAAAAUUGAAUUUAGAAUUUAAGUUAAAAUUCUUAAAUUUAAUUAUGGGACGAAAAGACCCUAUAGAAUUUUAUAGUUUGAUUAAUUUAGGUGUUUUUAUUAAUUAUAAAUAUUUAAAUUAAUUUAAAUUAUUUGGUUGGGAGGAUUUUUUAAUUUAUUAAACUUAAAAAUUAUAUUAUCAACGAUAAUUGAAUAUAAAAUGAAUCUUAAUAAAAUUAAUAGAAUAAAUUACCUUAGGGAUAACAGCGUAAUAUCUUUACAAAGACCUAAUUAAUAAAGAUGAUUGCGACCUCGAUGUUGAAUUAAGAAAAAUAUUAGAUGCAGGAGUCUAAUAAUUAAGUCUGUUCGACUUUUAAAAUCUUACAUGAUUUGAGUUCAGAUCGGCGUAAGCCAGAUCGGUUUUUAUCUAUAAUAAAAUUUAAUAUUCUUGUACGAAAGGACUUUAUAUUAUAAAUAAUUUAUAUUAAAUUAAAUUAAUCAAUUUAUUAUCUUGGCAGAUUAGUGUAAUAAAUUUAGAA